GUCCGUUCUGUUGCAAAAUCAGAACGUAUGAGAGAAUGUUUACGGUCCUUGAGGCGCAACCACAAGGAUGACGAUGCUAGAGUGCGACAAGCCUUCCAGACCUUGCUGAUAUAUGUUGGAAAUGUUGCAAGGAAUCCUAAUGAAGAAAAAUUCAGGAAGAUCAGACUCAGUAAUCCGUUAUUCUUGGAUAGAGUUGGGAGUUUGAUUGGAGGAAUUGAGUUCCUUGAGCUCUGUGGGUUUGAGACAACUGAAGGGGG